GGUCCUAUGGUGUUUAACAUAUCUAAUUGCAAGUUAGAAGUUGUCCAAGGGACUGGGACCU
rnacentral:tRNA from 1 species